UACGGGGGGGACAAGCGUUGUUCGGAAUUACUGGGCGUAAAGGGCUCGUAGGCGGCCAACUAAGUCCGACGUGAAAUCCCCAGGCUUAACCUGGGAACUGCGUCGGAUACUGGAUGGCUUGAAUCCGGGAGAGGGAUGCGGAAUUCCAGGUGUAGCGGUGAAAUGCGUAGAUAUCUGGAGGAACAGCCGGUGGCGAAGGCGGCGAUGCCCUGGACC
rnacentral:rRNA from 1 species